GAUCCUGUCCCUACAACUGCUCCCUGCCGCGCAUCCUGAGUUUGAAAUGAAAAAUACGUCUUUAUUACUUGUCUCUCUUCUUGCUUUUCUGUCGCUGUCUGCUAAAGGUAAACGUUUGCAUUGCUGCCGAUCGCCAGGCAUCAGCAUAUUCCCUUCAUCCUUCAGCUUGGACUCCCCCUAUCUGAAUUCCUCUGCCUGCUAGGACUUUGUCACUUGAAUGUAAACAUACUUGCGGAAACAACUGAUGCUGUCAGUCUUCUUGGGAGGACAGAGCUGCCAAUGCUUUUAUCUACUUCCUCUUCCAUUGCCAGAGCUUUACCUUGGCACUAAUCCCUUAAACACAGAAUUUAUGAAAGAAGAAGCUCUUCCACCAAGACUACAUGACUGAGGAUCAGACCUGUGCUCUGUACAGUGCCCACCAGAGGCUGGAGCCUGCCACUGCAGGGAUAGGUCGUGGGGGCAGCAGUUCCAGCAGAGGACCCCAAACCUCCCUUUCCCAAGACACAUUAACCAGCUCUGAUUGGGAGAUCCCGAUCCGUUCCCAGGCCAGUGUGGAGAUAUCAUCUCUCCACCUAAUCCUGAGUCUUCUCUGAGGCCCCCUCCUGGCUGGAUGGGCCUGAAACACCUCCCUAGGGGGGCGUCCAGGGGACAUCCUUACCAGAUGCCCAAACCACCUCAACUGGCUCCUUCCGACACAAAGGAGCAGGAGCACCAGGAAACAAACAACACAGCCCUCAGGUUAGGGACACCCAAACCUGUCCACCAUGAUAAGUUGAUGGUUCCUGGAGAGGAAGUUUUGUUUUCCUGCUGGCAAAUUCCACUGUCAAACUUGCGCUAGCCGCAGCAGGAAGCUGUUUCUAGCUAAAAAAGAAGCUUUCAUAAACCCACUGCAUGCUAGCCACCUAAAACCAAACAGACCAACAAACUAGCUGCUGAAAAUAGUGGUGCUAAGAGUCACAUAAUUUCCUCAGGAGUUAGUAGAGACCAAAGCGCUAAUACGAGAGUGAAUACUGGACUUGUUUGUCAGAUGGACAAAAACCUUCCACAGGAAUGCUAAUAUUGCUUGCUGUUGUUUGCAAAUGUUGGCUAACAACUUUAUAAGAUGAUAAUAUAUCAGUGUUGUUGUCAGGUUGUUGCUGCCCCCAAGAGACCAAAAAAACAGCUGUUAAUGCAGCUUUAACGUUUUUGCCUUUCUAAAUGAACAAAGUUCAUUUUCUGUGUUUUUUCAUACACACACAACUGCAGUAACAAUUUCAUGUGGCCUCUGUAUAAUACAAGCUCACGCAGUGAACAUACAGCAUACACAACUUUUUCUUCAAAAUCAUAUUGUACAUGGUUUAAAGGACAACAAAAUAUUAUCUAACACACAGGCCAAGAUUUAAAGUGAUAACUCAUUGAUUGUUGGGUGUUUGUUUUUAGGCCUCUUGCUCUGUGUUCACACCACAGUCCUUAAAUCUACAUACUAUCUACUUUUUAGUCAACUGAGUCACUUAAUGAGAGGUUCUUUUUAGCAAUACAGCUACUGAUAAGCUCACUAUAAUCAGCAAUUAAGCAUUAGUAUAGGGAUGCUGCUUCAAGUUAGCUAAAUGCUUAUACAAAGAUUCUACAUCUAAGUAUUGUUAAAACACAGAAAACUAGACAGAAAACUUGGCAUACUGGCACCCGUUUCAGUGUAUGAACAAUACAAACCCCGUGCUUUUAACUGUCAAGCUGUUCCAAAAGUUAUUUCCAUAUGACGUGAAUGCAACAAUACACUCAUUCUUCUUAUGAACUAAAAAGCGUGGACAGGACAAUAAUGUUCCCAGAUGAUGAUGUGGGAAUACUGUAAGUGGGCCCUUGUUCUCACAGAGAGGGAAAAAGGUCACUACAGGAUUGUCACAGCCCAAGGUCAGAGUCUGUACUUAUCCAGAUUCAAGUCAAAUGCAUAAUUAAUGAUGUAGCUCUGAGGCACCACACUCAUUUUCAGCUAUGAAAACAUAAAGGGAGUGUUUUAUAUCCAAAUGAGAUAUUUCUCCGUUUGAAAAAUGUGACACCUGUUCUAAAACUGACUGCUGGCAUUUAAAGUAGAACUCCAAGUAGAAUCUUAUCUUUCUGAAUGUACAUAAAACAAAUUUUUAUUUUAACAUAUUAGUAUAUGACAGGCA